rnacentral:ncRNA from 1 species
AGUUGUAAAAAGACUAUGUGUAUAGAAAUUGUUCUGUUAUAAGGAAGAAGUAAUCUGAGAAUAUAUGGGAUUUAUAUAUAUAUUUAGUUAUCGAAAUAAGUAGGAAUACUUUCCCAUAGAGGGUGAAAGGCCCGUAGUUAAUAAAUAUAUAAAGUUCUUUUUUUUUGGAUAAUUUUUUUUUUAAAGAGUAGUGCUCUUUGAGAUUGGAGUACAAAGAUGUGUGAUACAUUUCACAUAAGGCUAAAUAUAUAUAGGAGACCGAUAGGAAACAAGUACCGUGAGGGAAAGAUGAAAUAGUACUCAGGAAUGAGCAGUUAAAUAGUACCUGAAAUCGUUAAGGUGGAACGGAUUAAGAAAGGAAAAUGUAAGAAGAUAGUAAAUAUUACUCGGCGAGUUUUAUUAAGAUACGAUUUUUUUAUAAAAAGAAACAUGAGUGAACGAGAAUAAAUUAUAAUAUAAUUAUAUUAGAUAGGUAUAGAAUAGAUACACAGGACUAAGGGGGGAGGAGUAGUAAGAAAAAGGGUGCAGUGUAAAAGGGUUAUGCUUGUAUGUUUGAGUAUUCACUGCUUCUUUUUUUUUUUUUCUGUAAUUUUAUAUCUAUUUAAUUAAAGUAUCCUUAGCUAAUAAUAAUUUAUGAAGGAAGAACUUAAUUUAUAUGAGUUUUAAAAGGCAUGAUUAUAUUGUAUAUUAUAUGAUAUAUAUAUAAUUAUGUUUUAACCGAAAUGCGUAUAAUUAUUCUGUUUACUGAGGAAAAGAGGUAAACAAUAGUGUGAACUAAGAAUGGGAUAUUUCUUUUUUCUGAUUGUAAGUUGUUUUUAAAUAGUACUUUUUUAACCCACUCGUCUUGAAACACGGACCAAGGAGUCUAACAAAUGUGCGAGCGUAUGUGAUAUGAAUAAAAACAUAUAUAAAUUUUUAAGUUACCGCGGAAUUAAUGUGAAUUUUUUGUGGAUGCGCCGGACAAUAGUGCAUUUGGUUUCUGGCUUGCAAACAAUACCGAUAAGCAAUAAGAUAAUUAAGUUUAUUUGAGUUUGAUUAUUUUUGUUAGGACCCGAGAGGCUUUUGAACUAAGCGUGAUGAGAUUGAAGUCAGACGAAAGUCUGAUGGAAAAAAAAAAGAUACUGACGCGCCAACCGUUUUUUGUGGGGGGAGAAAACCCCCCCCCAAGAUUAAUCGAAAAAGCCGAUAAGCUGGGUAAUUUCGAAAAGAGGGGGGGGGGGAGCGCUGGGAUGGAGUUGAUAU